rnacentral:tRNA from 1 species
UGUGGGGUGGUAGCUCACUAGGCUCAUAACCUAGAGGUCGUUGGUUCGAGUCCAACCCCCGCGC